rnacentral:rRNA from 1 species
AGAGUUUGAUCAUGGCUCAGAAUGAACGUUGGCGGCGUGGAUUAGGCAUGCGAGUCGAGCGAGAACCCCGCAAGGGGGGAAAGCGGCAAACGGCGUAGUAAGGCGUAGGCGACGUGCCCCCAGGUCUGGGAUAGCUAUGGGAAACCGUAGGUAAUACCGGAUGACCCUGCCGGGAUUGAAAGCCGGCAGGUAAAGGUGUGAUUCCGCCCGGGGAGCGGCUUGCGUGGUAUUAGCUUGUUGGUGAGGUAACGGCUCACCAAGGCGACGAUGCCUAGGGGGUGUGAGAGCACGACCCCCACGACUGGGACUGAGAUACUGCCCAGACACCUACGGGUGGCUGCAGUCGAGAAUCUUCGGCAAUGGGCGAAAGCCUGACCGAGCGACGCCGCGUGUGGGAUGAAGGCCUUCGGGUUGUAUAGCACUGUCGAGGGGGAGGAAAGCCCGCAAGGGCCUGACCUAUCCCUGGAGGAAGCACGGGCUAAGUUCGUGCCAGCCGCCGCGGUAAUAC